rnacentral:rRNA from 1 species
UACGUAGGGGGCAAGCGUUGUCCGGAUUUAUUGGGCGUAAAGAGCGUGUAGGCGGUCAGGUAGGUCCGUUGUGAAAACUCGAGGCUCAACCUCGAGACGCCGAUGGAAACCAUCUGACUAGAGUCCGGAAGAGGAGAGUGGAAUUCCUGGUGUAGCGGUGAAAUGCGCAGAUAUCAGGAAGAACACCCGUGGCUAAGGCGGCGCUCGAGUACGGUACUGGCGCUGAGACGCGAAAGCGUGGGGAGCGAACAGG